rnacentral:rRNA from 1 species
UACAGAGGUCUCAAGCGUUUGUUCGGAAUCACUGGGCGUAAAGGGUGCGUAGGCCGCACGGUAAGUCAGAGGUGAAAUCCCGGAGCUCAACUCCGGAAUGGCCUCCGAUACUGCCGUGCUCGAGGACUGGAGAGGAGUCUGGAAUUCACAGUGGAGCAGUGAAAUGCGUAGAUAUUGUGAGGAACACUAGUGGCGAAGGCGAGACUCUGGACAGUUCCUGACGCUGAGGCACGAAGGCCAGGGGGAGCAAAACGGGG